UACGUAGGGACCAAGCGUUGUUCGGAUUUACUGGGCGUAAAGGGCGCGUAGGCGGCGUGGUAAGUCACUUGUGAAAUCUCUGAGCUCAACUCAGAACGGCCAAGUGAUACUGCUGUGCUAGAGUGCAGAAGGGGCAAUCGGAAUUCUUGGUGUAGCGGUGAAAUGCGUAGAUAUCAAGAGGAACACCUGAGGUGAAGACGGGUUGCUGGGCUGACACAUGACGCUGAGGCACGAAGGCCAGGGGAGCAAACGGG
rnacentral:rRNA from 1 species